rnacentral:lncRNA from 1 species
CAGAGCUGGCAGGGAGAAGGGAGUACAACUGAGAGAUGGCAAGAGGCAUGGUCAUGGUCAAGCCCCUGUUCCAGUAGUUCCUGAAGCCAGACUGCGUCUGCAACCAUGCUGCCAUGUAUCUAUAGAGGAGGAAGUUUGUGCAACCAAAAUGGGGUUGGUUAACAACGUAAGUUUCUGUCACUAGCAACUAAAAAAUUCCUGACAAGAUACUAUCUCUCUAGCAUGUAGCAUGCUCUCCACCAACAACCUUCUCACCCUGCAUCUUAUUCUUCCCAUCUCCACUGGGCAGCCAAGACGAGAUUCCAAUUCCAAAUGAAAUUGUAUCCUUAAAACCCUUCUAUAUCUUUCUAAAAUCCCAGGAGAAAGUCCAAACUUUUCUUUGUAACAUACAAGGCCUUUCAGGAUUUUGCUCCUGCUUCAUUUCUCACCAUUCCCCUGCCCUCACCUCCUUUCCAUGACACUCUACACCUCAAGGGAGAAAAAAAUAAUUUCUGAACUCCCCUGGGCUCAUCUCCCUGCCACUAUUUUGUCUAAGUUCUCUCCAGUGGCUCACAAGUGGCUCUCCUGAUUAGCAUCUGCCUUGCUAUUUCCUACUCCAGAGGCAAAAGCCAAAGACUAUAAGGUCAGGACCUCAGCAAACCCACAUAAAGACUGCUUACCUGGCUGACUCCCAAACAUUGUACCCUGUCAUUUCUGUCCACUGUGCUUUAAUUCCCUGGGACCCUGAUGCCUGCUUCCUUCCUUCCUCUCUUCCUCUCCUGGUAACCCUAUUAUUGAAGGAUUAUUGUCCUCAUCCUGCCCUGUAAAAGCAUCUCAAGCCAAACUCCCCACAUCAUCUGCCCUGUUGCAUAUCUGAGAAAUACCAACUCCUGUCCAAGUUCAG